rnacentral:lncRNA from 1 species
GUUUAGAUAAUUGUAUGGUACAUAAUGUUGUUCUGAUUAUGGAUUUAGUUGCUACAGCUGCAGUUGCUUAUGUUCACUGAAUCAGUUUCAUAUUUACAUAAUAGUUAAACAUACAGACGUGUUUACCAAAAGUAAUAAAAAAAGAGAAAGAAAAAUGCGAAGAAAACUUUGCACUACUAAAUGUACUGCAUUGGAAGGGAAAUCAGAAUGUUAACUAUACAAAAGACAACAUUUAACCAUGACAAUCAUGAAAGAAAAGCUAAUCAGAAAAAGCUUCAUCACGGAAACACAAAUAACUGAGCA